rnacentral:rRNA from 1 species
AUUGAACGCUGGCGGCAGGCCUAACACAUGCAAGUCGAGCGGAGUGGCGGACGGGUGAGUAAUGCCUAGGAAUCUGCCUGGUAGUGGGGGAUAACGUCCGGAAACGGGCGCUAAUACCGCAUACUAUCAGAUGAGCCUAGGUCGGAUUAGCUAGUUGGUGGGGUAAAGUCCUACCAAGGCGACGAUCCGUAACUGGUCUGAGAGGAUGAUCAGGCACACGGGAACUGAGACACGGUCCAGACUCCUACGGGAGGCAGAAGUGGGGAAUAUUGCACAAUGGGCGCAAGCCUACUGCAGCCAUGCCGCGUGUGUGAAGAAGGUCUUCGGAGUGUAAAGCACUUUAAGUUUGGAGGCGUUACCAACAGAAUAAGCACCGGCUAACUUCGUGCCAGCAGCCGCGGUAAUUC